rnacentral:rRNA from 1 species
CACUCCUACGGGAGGCAGCAGUGGGGAAUUUUGGACAAUGGGCGAAAGCCUGAUCCAGCCAUGCCGCGUGCAGGAUGAAGGCCUUCGGGUUGUAAACUGCUUUUGUACGGAACGAAACGGCCUUUUCUAAUAAAGAGGGCUAAUGACGGUACCGUAAGAAUAAGCACUGGCUAACUACGUGCCAGCAGCCGCGGUAAUACGUAGGGUGCAAGCGUUAAUCGGAAUUACUGGGCGUAAAGCGUGCGCAGGCGGUUAUGUAAGACAGUUGUGAAAUCCCCGGGCUCAACCUGGGAACUGCAUCUGUGACUGCAUAGCUAGAGUACGGUAGAGGGGGAUGGAAUUCCGCGUGUAGCAGUGAAAUGCGUAGAUAUGCGGAGGAACACCGAUGGCGAAGGCAAUCCCCUGGACCUGUACUGACGCUCAUGCACGAAAGCGUGGGGAGCAAACAGGAUUAGAUACCCCGGUAGUCCCA